AAGUCAUAACAAGGUUUCCGUAGGUGAACCUGCGGAAGGAUCAUUAUUGAAUUCGGCCUUUUGGCCUUAUACACAUAAUAUACACUGUGAACCGUGGCUUCGGCCCAAACCUGAAGUCUUGAAUGUAAUAUAUCAUAACAAAAUACAACUUUUAACAACGGAUCUCUUGGCUCUC
rnacentral:misc_RNA from 1 species